GACGAACGCUGGCGGCGUGCUUAACACAUGCAAGUCGAACGGAAAGGCCCUGCUUUUGUGGGGUGCUCGAGUGGCGAACGGGUGAGUAACACGUGAGUAACCUGCCCUUGACUUUGGGAUAACUUCAGGAAACUGGGGCUAAUACCGGAUAGGAGCUCCUGCUGCAUGGUGGGGGUUGGAAAGUUUCGGCGGUUGGGGAUGGACUCGCGGCUUAUCAGCUUGUUGGGGGGGUAGUGGCUUACCAAGGCUUUGACGGGUAGCCGGCCUGAGAGGGUGACCGGCCACAUUGGGACUGAGAUACGGCCCAGACUCCUACGGGAGGCAGCAGUGGGGAAUAUUGCACAAUGGGCGGAAGCCUGAUGCAGCAACGCCGCAUGCGGGAUGACGGCCUUCGGGUUGUAAACCGCUUUCGCCUGUGACGAAGCGUGAGUGACGGUAAUGGGUAAAGAAGCACCGGCUAACUACGUG
rnacentral:rRNA from 1 species